AAAGUUGUGGGUGGCAGAAUUUGGGGCCAGCUUUCCUGUCAUCCUAUCCAUCCCCUGCAACCCUGGCACCCACCUGGGUCUCCUCCACAGAGUGUACCAGCCACACGUCCUGCAGGUCCUCCACGGCACCAUCCAGCCAGUUGUUGAAGGGCGCGGCCCGCCGGGCAAACUCCAGUUGCAGCUGGUCAAUGGUCUCCAGGAGCUUCUCCAUCCGCUAGAAGAGAUGCCGGCUCCGGUCACCCAGUGGCGGCAGGGGCAGGGGUGCGCUCCAGGCUGCGUGACCGUGAAACAUCAGCGUCCCCUGAGCGAGCUACGUCCAGGGGGCCCUUGGUACAGUUUUAGCAUAAUUUGACCUUAAAAUAGCUCUCAACGAUUCUGUAACCCCCAUGAGCCCCUGACCCGGCCUCCUUUGUUCACUACAGAAAUCCUCAACAGAACAACGAAUGGAUGUUUCUAUCCAGAGUA
rnacentral:lncRNA from 1 species